GUCUACGGCCAUGCCAUCCUGAACGUGCCUGAACUCGCCAGAUCUCGGAAGCUAAGCAGGGUCGGGCCUGGUUAGUAUUUGGAUGGGAGACCACCUAGGAAGACCAGGUGCUGUAGGUA
rnacentral:rRNA from 1 species